rnacentral:rRNA from 1 species
UACGAGAGGAGCGAGCAUUAUUCGAAAUGGUUAGGCGUAAAGGGUUUGUAGAUUGUUUUUAAGUUGAAAAAAUUAAAGCUUAACUUUAUUUAUUUUUUCAAAACUAAUAAACUUAGAGUAUAAAUAUAGGAUAAUAGAAUUCUUAUUGUAAGGAUAAAAUCUGUUGAUAAUAAGAGGAAUUUCAAAAGCGAAGGCAAUUAUCUGGGUAUAUACUGACAUUGAGAAACGAAAGCUUGGGGAGCAAACGGGAUUAGAAACCCGGU